rnacentral:rRNA from 1 species
UACGUAGGGUGCGAGCGUUGUCCGGAAUUACUGGGCGUAAAGAGCUUGUAGGCGGUCUGUCGCGUCUGCUGUGAAAAUCCGGGGCUCAACCCCGGACUUGCAGUGGGUACGGGCAGACUAGAGUGUGGUAGGGGAGACUGGAAUUCCUGGUGUAGCGGUGAAAUGCGCAGAUAUCAGGAGGAACACCGAUGGCGAAGGCAGGUCUCUGGGCCACUACUGACGCUGAGGAGCGAAAGCAUGGGGAGCGAACAGG